ACACAAAACAAAUAUGAACCCAGCAGGUACGAUCCCUAAAGACACAAAACAAAUAUAUGAACACAACAGGUACGAUCCCUAAAGACACAAAACAAAUAUGAACCCAACAGGUACGAUCCCUAAAGACACAAAACAAAUAUAUGAACACAACAGGUACGAUCCCUAAAGACACAAAACAAAUAUGAACCCAACAGGUACGAUCCCUAAAGACACAAAACAAAUAUAUGAACCCAACAGGUACGAUCCCUAAAGACACAAAACAAAUAUAUGAACCCAACAGGUACGAUCCCUAAAGACACAAAACAAAUAUGAACCCAACAGGUAAGAUCCCUAAAGACACAAAACAAAUAUAUGAACCCAACAGGUACGAUCCCUAAAGACACAAAACAAAUAUAUGAACCCAACAGGUACGAUCCCUAAAGACACAAAACAAAUAUAUGAACACAACAGGUACGAUCCCUAAAGACACAAAACAAAUAUAUGAACCCAACAGGUACGAUCCCUAAAGACACAAAACAAAUAUAUGAACCCAACAGGUACGAUCCCUAAAGACACAAAACAAAUAUGAACCCAACAGGUACGAUCCCUAAAGACACAAAACAAAUAUAUGAACCCAACAGGUACGAUCCCUAAAGACACAAAACAAAUAUAUGAACCCAACAGGUACGAUCCCUAAAGACACAAAACAAAUAUGAACCCAACAGGUACGAUCCCUAAAGACACAAAACAAAUAUAUGAACCCAACAGGUACGAUCCCUAAAGACACAAAACAAAUAUGAACCCAACAGGUACGAUCCCUAAAGACACA